rnacentral:lncRNA from 1 species
AAGGUCUGUACGGUCACUGUAGGACUAUCUAGGAACAUAAAUAUGUGCUCUAUAAAACAAUAUUACUGAAUUUAGCCGCCAUGCCAAUGACCAUUUAAUAAUAAUAUUCCUUCAGACCUAUUUCGGUUUAUGAGCAUGUAAAUAAUCACUUCUUCAGAAUAAUAUAACAAUCCCUUAGCAACUUUAACAGUUGCCUACAUGAACAAGCAAUAGAAAGGAAAAUACAUGUUAUAACUUAGGUUUAUUUAAUGCAGCUCAGCCACUAGAAUAAAAAAGAAAACAAGGCAGCUGAGUCUGUAAGCACAGCGUGAUCUUUUCUUGCAGACUCAGCUGUAUAGCAGUACAAAAGAACCAGAACCCAAAAAAGAGCUGCAUGAAGUGUGUUCUCUAUUACCUGCCUCAGAAAGCAGCCUCACAAAAUACUGGACUUUGUUAUUAGAUGAGUCUCAGGCAUCACAGCUGCCUGCAGAUUUCUUAGGAGUCUACUGGAAGAGAAGUUGGAAGCUGAUCGCUUGACUCGGAGACAAACAGAUCUAUGAGAUACAAAGAGUUGCUACAGAGACAAGAAUGAGAUACUGAGAGACUUUUCAUCUCACAAAAAGAAAUAGCUGAUCAGGGUUUCACAGAGGGCACUGUGAUGUUCCUGUCUGAUAUCCAUGACCUUGUGUUAGAGAGAAUUCUGAAAGUGUUUGUGCAGCUAUUUACUGGGUAUCACAUUAUGUAUAUGUGCUUAUUAAGAGAAUAACAUAUGAGUUUGCCUAUAAUCAUUGUAGCUGAUAUUG